rnacentral:rRNA from 1 species
GACGAACGCUGGCGGCGUGCUUAACACAUGCAAGUCGAACGGAAAGGCUCCAGCUUGCUGGAGUACUCGAGUGGCGAACGGGUGAGUAACACGUGGGUAAUCUGCCCUGCACUCUAGGAUAAGCCUGGGAAACUGGGUCUAAUACUGGAUAUGACCUUUCUCCUUAUGGGGUUUGGUGGAAAGUUUUUCGGUGUAGGAUGAGCCCGCGGCCUAUCAGCUUGUUGGUGGGGUGAUGGCCUACCAAGGCGACGACGGGUAGCCGGCCUGAGAGGGUGAUCGGCCACAUUGGGACUGAGAUACGGCCCAGACUCCUACGGGAGGCAGCAGUGGGGAAUAUUGCACAAUGGGCGGAAGCCUGAUGCAGCGACGCCGCGUGAGGGAUGACGGCCUUCGGGUCGUAAACCUCUUUCAGCAGGGACGAAGCGUAAGUGACGGUACCUGCAGAAGAAGCACCGGCUAACUAUGUG